rnacentral:rRNA from 1 species
GACGUAGGGCGCGAGCGUUGUCCGGAUUUAUUGGGCGUAAAGAGCUCGUAGGCGGCUUGUUGCGUCGACCGUGAAAACCCGGGGCUCAACUUCGGGCUUGCGGUCGAUACGGGCGGGCUAGAGUUCGGUAGGGGAGACUGGAAUUCCUGGUGUAGCGGUGAAAUGCGCAGAUAUCAGGAGGAACACCGAUGGCGAAGGCAGGUCUCUGGGCCGAUACUGACGCUGAGGAGCGAAAGCGUGGGGAGCAAACAGG